UGAUCCUGGCUCAGGAUGAACGCUAGUUUAGGCUUAACACAUGCAAGUCGAGGGGAAACGACAUCGAAAGCUUGCUUUUGAUGGGCGUCGACCGGCGCACGGGUGAGUAACGCGUAUCCAACCUGCCCACCACUUGGGGAUAACCUUGCGAAAGUAAGACUAAUACCCAAUGACGUCUCUAGAAGACAUCUGAAAGAGAUUAAAGAUUUAUCGGUGAUGGAUGGGGAUGCGUCUGAUUAGCUUGUUGGCGGGGUAACGGCCCACCAAGGCAACGAUCAGUAGGGGUUCUGAGAGGAAGGUCCCCCACAUUGGAACUGAGACACGGUCCAAACUCCUACGGGAGGCAGCAGUGAGGAAUAUUGGUCAAUGGACGAGAGUCUAAACCAGCCAAGUAGCGUGCAGGAUGACGGCCCUAUGGGUUGUAAACUGCUUUUAUAAGGGAAUAAAGUGAGUCUCGUGAGACUUUUUGCAUGUACCUUAUGAAUAAGGACGGGCUAAUUCCGUGCCAGCAGCCGCGGUAAUACGGAAGGUCCGGGCGUUAUCCGGAUUUAUUGGGUUUAAAGGGAGCGUAGGCCGGAGAUUAAGCGUGUUGUGAAAUGUAGAUGCUCAACAUCUGCACUGCAGCGCGAACUGGUUUCCUUGAGUACGCACAAAGUGGGCGGAAUUCGUGGUGUAGCGGUGAAAUGCUUAGAUAUCACGAAGAACUCCGAUUGCGAAGGCAGCUCACUGGAGCGCAACUGACGCUGAAGCUCGAAAGUGCGGGUAUCGAACAGGAUUAGAUACCCUGGUAGUCCGCACGGUAAACGAUGGAUGCCCGCUGUUGGUCUGAAUAGGUCAGCGGCCAAGCGAAAG
rnacentral:rRNA from 1 species